AAAGAAAUGGAUAUUAGUUCCUCGAUGAUACAGAAGUCGGUCAGUUUCCCGUCACGCACAACCAAACUAUUGCUGCUUCAGCUCCGACAGUGGGUGGCUAUUAGAGCUAUUAGAAACCUGUAAUAGUGCAAAAGCAGACUUAAAGAACAAAAAGUUGAAUACUAUAAAAGGAUGUGAGAAGAUUUGAAGAAGAAAGAAAGGAAAAGACAUGGGAAGACAGGGGAUAUAGACUACAAUUAUACCUGUGACUAUGUUAUAAUUAUAGAGUACAUGGUACAUUGGAUGAAAACUUGUAAUCGUUUUAGUAUGUAAUUCAAAAUGUGUUGCAUAGUGCAUAGUUCAUUUUCAUUAUGCAAGACAGGGGAAAUUUUAUAGAGUAUGUAAUUCAAAUUGGUUAUUAAAACUUGUCUCUAAUAUGUUAA